UCAAUAGUUCAAUGCUAACAAAUUGAUUCGAUUGGAAUUUGGAAUCGCGAGUAAACUUAAUAUUUUUUUCUAUUUAGGUAAAUGUCCAGGGGCCCCCGGCGAUCGCUGGGUAGCCGAGUGGGCCAGACCGACAUUGCGUCAUGUCUUAUUAUAAUAUACAAAACAGAACUCACGUUAUUUCCAAAUUUCUCGGCGUGUUGCACCUAUAAAUACCAAGACUGGAAUCCGUAGCAGGAGAAUUUUAUUUUGAACACAAGAAAGUUAAGACAUUGUACAAAAACAAAGUUAAAAUAUUGGUAUGCAAUCAAGAACACUUGAAAGAAUUUUUUACAAAACGACUGACCGCGUAAUAAGAAAUAAAACGGAAACGCUGUCAUUCGCAAACUCGACGUAAUAAUAUUAUGGUGUAAAGGUAUUACGUAUAUAACGUAUAAAAUGGCGGCCGAGCGUCUUAAUUAAACCUUACACUAUUAUAGCCACACAUAAUAUCACAGAGGUCUACACGUGCCUAUUAUGUUAUUGCAACGAAUUUCAAAUGAACGAGGAUCAUCUUUGAUGUCGUACAUAAAUAAACAAUCCAAUUUAUAAUUAAAUUUCGUCCG